AGACGAGAGGCCCGAGCGUUAAUCGGAAUCACUGGGCUUAAAGGGUGCGUAGGCGGAAACGUAAGCGUCUUGUGAAAUCCCUCGUCUCAACCGAGGAAUUGCGGGGCGAACUACGUUUCUUGAGGCAGGUAGGGGCCAUCGGAACGCUAGGUGGAGCGGUGAAAUGCGUAGAUAUCUAGUGGAACGCCAAUGGAGAAAUCAGAUGGCUGGGCCUGUCCUGACGCUGAGGCACGAAAGCGUGGGGAGCAAACAGGAUUAGAAACCCCGGUAGUCC
rnacentral:rRNA from 1 species